UGCAGAGAGUCAGGGCCUAGGGAACCAUGUGCUAGUUAAUAAAAGGUUUUGGAACAAUUCACUUUGAAUCCAUUAAAUCCGAAUGUGUGACAGUUACAUAAUGUCAUAAACACUUACUAGUACAGGGAGGAGGGCCAAGAAAGGCAAAUGACACAGACCAAGAUACACAGGAGUGGUGAAAAAUGUCAGACAAGUGUGUGUGUGUUUUGUUUGUUUUUCCAUUGCUGAUCACUUCCUAGAGCAGAGCAGACCUAGAAGCCAGGCCUUGCAAGUCACAGGCACCCCACAGCUCACUCCCCAGAUGCUUGGAGGCCCAAAUGGAGGAGCAAGUCUUCAUUCGCACUCUUGAGAAUCUGAGAGUCUGGGGAAGAAGAAAGAACUGCAACCCUAAUUAAUGUUCAAGGGGCUCCUGUGGAUGUUUCCCCAGAGCUGGGAGGGCUGAGCUGUGGGCACGAGGUUUGGCCAGCUCCCUGAAAAAAAAAAACGUGCACCUGCUGAGAGCUCCAGUUGUCUCCCUGCCAUCGUGAUGAACGUGACACAGAGCACAAAAGAGGGCAAGUGGAAGAAUGAAUUGAAAUAAAGGAAAUGAAGCAACCUGUGAAAAACCAGCAAACAAGCCUACAUCAGCAGUGAAAGUCAAUGAGGCAAACACCAUCUGGCCCUGAAAAUGAAUGGAGCAGAAAAGGAUGGCCUCGCCUCCCGGGGAUUGGUGCUCUGCUGGGUGCAGAGUCGUGUCCAUGCCUGCCUGAGAUUAGCCUGGGUCAGGCACGCAGGGUGGGUGGAGAUGUGGGGGGAGAAGGCUUCAGGCCCUUGCACCACUGCUACAGGAUCAGACCCUUACAGGCAAAAUUCAUCCUUGAUUGCUUAUUAUUCAUGGAUAAACAGGUAAUUUGAGAAAAGGUGAUGAGGAAGAAUGCAUAAUGUGUCCUGUCACUCCUUUUUCUUACCCCUGCAACACAAUGAACUCUGCUUACAAAGCACAUCAUGACACUUAGGAAGUGGUAUCGUUGUGUCCAGGCCAUGCCCCUGUCCUCUGUUGUACAUGUUGGAUCUCAUACGUAAAAUAAAUAGUAGUAAAUUAUCUCAUAAAAAUUCCAUGAUUUUGGUGGUUUCAUGCUCUAAGAUGUCACAGAUUUGAUUCUCCCAAUAGAUAGGGACAAGGCUUCAGAAUUGUGGGGUCCUCCUAAGUUUUGUGGACUAUGACUAGAACCCUCACUCUGCACAACUCACUGGGAACCAGGGCCAAAGGUCU